AGUGAACGCUGGCGGUAGGCCUAACACAUGCAAGUCGAACGGCAGCACAGUAAGAGCUUGCUCUUACGGGUGGCGAGUGGCGGACGGGUGAGGAAUACAUCGGAAUCUACUUUUUCGUGGGGGAUAACGUAGGGAAACUUACGCUAAUACCGCAUACGACCUACGGGUGAAAGCAGGGGAUCUUCGGACCUUGCGCGAUUGAAUGAGCCGAUGUCGGAUUAGCUAGUUGGCGGGGUAAAGGCCCACCAAGGCGACGAUCCGUAGCUGGUCUGAGAGGAUGAUCGGCCACACUGGAGCUGAGACACGGUCCAGACUCCUGCGGGAGGCAGCAGUGGGGAAUAUUGGACAAUGGGCGCAAGCCUGAUCCAGCCGUACCGCGUGGGUGAAGAAGGCCUUCGGGUUGUAAAGCCCUUUUGUUGGGAAAGAAAAGCAGCAGGUUAAUACCACGCUGUUCUGACGGUACCCAAAGAAUAAGCACCGGCUAACUUCGUG
rnacentral:rRNA from 1 species